rnacentral:lncRNA from 1 species
AUGACUCCUAAAAUACAGAUAGUAGAUGGUAUCUGCUACGGAUCUCAAAUAGAAUGUCAAUUUGUUGUUGUUUUUUUUUUUCAAGUGGAAAUUAAUCUCACUAAUGACUACCGUCUCAGUGGAGGGGUUUCAGAAACAGUGUUCAAAGCAAGCAAGAUAGCUUUUCACUGGGGAAAAUGCAAUAUGUCAUCUGAUGGAUCAGAACAUAGUUUAGAAGGGCAAAAAUUUCCACUAGAGAUGCAGAUCUACUGCUUUGAUGCAGACCGAUUUUCAAGUUUUGAAGAAGCAAUUAAAGGAAAAGGGAAGUUAAGAGCUUUAUCCAUUUUAUUUGAGGUAAUCAUAUGUAUAUAUAUAUAUAUAUAUGUGUGGAAACAGGCUGCGCUGGAUCCAUUCACAUUGCUAAACCUUCUGCCAAACUCAACGGACAAGUAUUACACUUACAAUGGCUCCCUGACAUCGCCUCCCUGCACAGACACCGUUGACUGGAUUAUUUUUAAAGAUACAGUUAGCAUUUCUGAAAGCCAGUUGGCUGUUUUCUGUGAAGUUCUUACAAUGCAACAGUCUGGUUAUGUCAUGUUGAUGGACUACUUACAAAAUAAUUUUCGAGAACAACAGUACAAGUUCUCCAGGGUGACAGUUGUGUCAAUAACUGUACUUUUUUUUUCCUCUGAAGUUUGUAGUUCAGAACCAGAAAAUGUUCAAGCUGACCCAGAGAAUUAUACUAGCCUUCUUGUUACAUGGGAGAGACCUCGAGUAGUUUAUGAUACCAUGAUCGAGAAGUUUGCCGUUCUGUACCAGCAGUUGGAGGGAGAAGACCAAACCAAGCAUGAGUUUUUGACAGAUGGCUAUCAAGAUUUGGUAACUAUAAGAUCAAUUGUUUCAUAUAAAGAUGGCUUAUCUAUCAAUAGGUGUAUGUCAUGCUUCUCCUAUAGAGAAUCACAGGAAAAGGUAAUGAAUGACUCAGACACCCAGCAGAACAGUUCUGUGGAUCAGAAUAACCCAAUCUCAUAUGCACUAUCUGAGAAUUCUGAAGAAGGAAAUAAAAUCACAGGUGUUAUAUCAGACAAUCAGACUGAUAUGGACAGAAGUCCUGAUAAAUCACCACCAACAAAUGUGCCAGCCCAGAAGCACAAUGAUGGAAAACAGGAAAAUGAUGUUCAGACUAACAAUGCCCUGCUUCCUUUCAGCCCAGAAUCUAAAGCUUGGGCAGUUCUUACAAGUGAUGAAGAGAGUGGAUCAGGGCAAGGUGCCUCAGAUAGCCUUAAUGAUAACGAGACUUCCACAGAUUUCAGUUUUCCUGAUAUUAAUGAAAAAGAUGGUGAUGGGGUACUGGAAACAGGUGACUCAGAAAUAACUCCUGGAUCCCCACAGUCCUCAACACCGACUAUUACUAGCGGGCAUUCAGAAGUGUUCAACAUUUCAGAGCUUAAAUAUCAACUUUCUCAAUUUUCUCUGACUACAGAGGCCAGUAAUAGUAGCCAUGAGUCUCGUAUUGGUCUAGCUGAGGGGCUGGAAUCCGAGAAGAAGGCGGUUAUACCCCUUGUGAUCGUGUCGGCCCUGACUUUUAUCUGUCUAGUGGUUCUUGUGGGUAUUCUCAUCUACUGGAGGAAAUGUUUCCAGACCGCACAUUUUUAUUUAGAGGACAGUACGUCCCCUCGAGUAAUAUCCACACCUCCAACACCUAUCUUUCCAAUUUCAGAUGAUGUUGGAUCAAUUCCAAUAAAGCACUUUCCAAAGCAUGUUGCAGACUUACAUGCAAGUAGUGGGUUUACUGAAGAAUUUGAGGAGGUACAGAGCUGUACUGUUGAUUUAGGUAUCACAGCAGACAGCUCCAAUCACCCCGACAAUAAGCACAAGAACCGAUACAUAAAUAUUGUUGCCUAUGAUCAUAGUAGAGUUAAACUCGCACAACUUGCUGAGAAGGAUGGCAAACUGACUGAUUAUAUCAAUGCCAAUUAUGUUGAUGGCUACAACAGACCAAAAGCUUACAUUGCUGCCCAAGGCCCACUGAAAUCCACCGCCGAAGACUUCUGGAGAAUGAUAUGGGAGCAUAAUGUGGAAGUUAUUGUCAUGAUAACGAACCUUGUGGAGAAAGGAAGGAGAAAGUGUGACCAGUACUGGCCUGUGGAUGGCAGUGAAGAGUAUGGGAACUUUCUGGUCACUCAAAAGAGUAUUCAAGUGCUUGCUUAUUAUACUGUGAGGAAUUUUACUCUAAGAAACACAAAGAUCAAAAAGGGUUCCCAAAAAGGAAGACCCAGUGGGCGCGUGGUUACCCAGUACCACUACACUCAGUGGCCUGACAUGGGGGUGCCCGAGUACUCCCUGCCAGUGCUAACCUUUGUGAGAAAGGCCUCGCAUGCCAAGCGCCACGCAGUAGGGCCUGUUGUUGUCCACUGCAGUGCUGGAGUUGGAAGAACGGGCACGUACAUCGUGCUAGACAGUAUGCUGCAGCAAAUUCAACAUGAAGGAACCGUCAACGUAUUUGGCUUUUUAAAACACAUUCGUUCACAAAGAAAUUACUUGGUGCAAACUGAGGAACAGUAUGUCUUCAUUCAUGAUGCACUGGUCGAGGCCAUACUCAGUAAAGAAACUGAGGUCCCGGACAGCCACAUCCAUGCCUAUGUUAACGGGCUCCUCAUUCCUGGACCAACGGGCAAAACAAAGCUAGAGAAGCAAUUCAAGGAGGUGGGAAGGAAGUAUAGUGCUAAGAGCUUACUUGUUUCUGAUGAAUGUUCUGUGUUCCCAGUGGAAAGAUCCAGGGUUGGCAUUUCAUCCCUGAGUGGAGAAGGUGCAGACUACAUCAAUGCCUCCUACAUCAUGGGUUAUUAUCAGAGCAAUGAAUUCAUCAUCACCCAGCAUCCCCUUCUCCACACCAUCAAGGAUUUCUGGAGGAUGAUAUGGGACCAUAAUGCCCAGCUGGUUGUUAUGCUUCCAGAUGGUCAAAACAUGGCAGAAGAUGAAUUUGUUUACUGGCCAAAUAAAGAUGAGCCUAUAAAUUGUGAGAGUUUUAAGGUCACUCUUAUGGCCGAGGAACACAAAUGUCUGUCUAAUGAGGAGAAACUUAUAAUGCAAGAUUUUAUCCUAGAAGCUACACAGGAUGACUAUGUACUUGAAGUGCGGCACUUUCAGUGCCCCAAAUGGCCAAAUCCAGACAGCCCCAUUAGUAAAACUUUUGAACUUAUAAGUAUUAUCAAAGAAGAAGCCGCCACCAGGGAUGGGCCCAUGAUUGUUCAUGAUGAGCACGGAGGAGUGACAGCUGGAACCUUCUGUGCUCUGACGACCCUGAUGCACCAACUCGAAAAAGAAAAUUCCGUGGAUGUGUACCAGGUAGCCAAGAUGAUCAAUUUGAUGAGGCCGGGAGUCUUUGCCGACAUUGAGCAGUAUCAGUUUCUCUACAAAGCAGUCCUCAGCCUUGUGAGCACAAGGCAGGAAGAGAACCCGUCCACCUCUCUGGACAGUAACGGCGCGGCAUUGGCUGAUGGAAAUAUAGCCGAGAGCUUAGAGUCUUUAGUUUGACGUGGAAAGGGGUGAGAAGAGCCCACAUGUACUGCUUCCCUCUUUCUAAAAUUAGACUGGAAAAUCAGUUCCGUUCUGUUAUCUGUUUACUUCACAUCACCUGACAGUUACUACCAUGACAUAGGAUUCUGCUGCCAAAUUUACAUCAUUAACAAUGUGUGCCUUUUUUGCAAAACUUCUUGUAAUUCACUUAUUGUGUUUAAACUAAAAUGAUUGAAAUUUACAGUAUUUCUAAGAAUGGAAUUGUGGUAUCUUUUUUUCAUAUUGAUUUUAACAGAAAAUUUCAAUUUACAGAUACUAGGAAUUCCCAACUAGAAUUCCCAAACAGAAAACAUGUUUGUUUUUAGUGUCAAAUUUUUAGCUGUAUUUGUAGCAAUCAUCAAGUUUGCUAGAAAUAUAACUUUUAAUAUAGUAUACUGUAAAUAAAACACCCUGUUCCCUACGAUAUUCA